CUAGUUACCCGCUUGUCUGCGCUCCUGUUGUCAGACCCUGCCAUGUGGACUGCUAGUCGGAAAAAUGCAGGGUUUCCCCCUCUGCAAUGAGCCUGAGCCCUGCCGAUCCCCGAACGAAAAGCAUUGAACCUUUAACUCACCUGAUUGGGAGGGUCUUGGGGUCUGCGUUUGAGUUUGCAGCAUGAAGACAUUCCCAGGGGUGGAAUGGAACCUGCACCACCAAAGUAGUGACCAUGCUGGAUCCUUAACCACGAGGCCACCAGGGAACUCCACUAUUUGUACAUUUUAAAGCUGCUCUGAGUAAUACGACCUGGGAAGAGAGCACAAUGGCAAAGAAUGAGGAGUCACAUGGUAACAGGCAGCUCAGUGACAACAUCUGCAAGUCACCUAAAACCUGAGCGGAAGAGGAGAUGAGCCAUUAUUUUGGAAGAUUGAUGGAUAUGAAAACUUAUGAUUGCUCAAGAGUUCAAUGAAAUACUAGUUGUUUUAAGGACGAUGGGCAAAUAAACUGGUGAGAUAAACCAGGAUGCCAAGUUGACCACUGAAUAACAGGUUAUCGAGCAAUCCAAUAAUAGCCAUGCAGAAGCUCUAAGUACAGUAAGGCAAAAUCUUGAUGGCUAAAAAAGGACAAAGCCUACUAUAUUAAUUAAUUAACUUUUAUGUUGAUGUCAGUCCAUUAGCAAUAAUGAGGAAAGGCUGGAUUUCAUGCAUUUGGACUUCGUUAAGAUGGGAUUCUUCUCAUCAACAAGUUAGGACCAUAUGGUCUAAAAUCCAGUAUUAAAAAUUAGAAAGAAAAUUGACUAUCUUAUCCAAAUGGUUAAAAGUACCAUGGAUGCCCAAAUGUGCCAGAUGGGGCUACUUAAGAAUCAGAUGCAGGGUUUUAAAAAAUACUUUCAUGUGACAAUUAUGAGACAUUGUACAAAAACUGGCAGGAGUUUCUACCCACUCUCUGAGUCAGUGCUCAGCAAUAAGAAUAACCAAACCAAGAUACGGCUUCUUACCUGAAACCGUAUGUCUGAAACAAAUAUGUGAGGGUUGUGAAUACACAGACCUUCAAAUGGAAAAGACAGAAAGCUGGGAUGGGGAGAAAAGAGGAAUGCACAGAGUAUUUAAAAAAAAAAAGUCCAAAUAAUGCAGUCUUCUAAUUAGCUAUAAAUAGAACACAAAACUUGUGUAUAGAUACAAAUUAUCUUUUAAUGUUAAUUACACCUUGAGUUGAUCACAAGAUAAUACGCAUUAAAACAGGACACGUGACAAGUCAUACAAAAUCAAAAUUAUUAACCUGAGUUUAAAAAGAAAAGCCCCUAGAGUUUCCAUUGUGUCUCAGUGGGUUAAGAACCCAACUAGAAACUGUGAAGAUGCAGGUUAAAUCUCUGGCCUCACUCAGU